UUUUUAUCUUCGCUCUUUGAGCAUUAUUUGAUUUUUAAAUACAUUUUAUAACUAGUUUAAAGCUCCAUUUAUACUACGCUUAGUUUUUGGUACGGCGCGGAAAAAAUUUUGGUACCCAUACCACAUUUUUGGUCCUUGGACUACCUAUUUAGAUAGUCCAAGAACCAAAAAAAGUGGUACGCUACCAAAAAUCAAGCGCAUUGUAAACGGGGCUUAAAUAUUGAAAAUGUAUUUGCUAACCUAUAGACAGACAACUGCUGGAAGUAUUUUCAUUUUGUUUUUAUUCCUAUUAAUGCUAUAUAAAGCGAAUAACCUGCUGUUUUCUCGUUUAGAAAACCUCUGUAAAUUUUGAGCCUCCAUCUUGUGUUUUUUUUUACUGAUAGGAUAUGAGCUAUUGUUAUAUACUCACAUGCCAUUGACCAAUCACGCAUCUUCAGUAGUGUCACGUGUAUGCCCGAUGUUUUACGCAGGGGCGUAACUAGCCCCUUUUGAUUGGGGGGAGGGUGUCUGCCAGAAUUGCCCUGCCAAACCGAUGAUGCCCUGCAGCAAAAAAUUUUUUUUGUCAAUAUUUCACCUAAAAAAGUUGGGGGGGGGGGAGGUCGAAUAAAUGUUUUCAGGACAUUCAAAAAAGGGGCCAAAAAACUUUUUCCGGACAAAAACCAGUUAAAUUAAAGGUAAAAAAAAAUUUUUCGGACAUACACCAGUUCAAUUAAAGGUCAAAAAAAAUUUUUCGGACAAAUUCCUGUUAACACAUGCAUGAAACCCUUAUUUUUUGAACAAUAUCUGAAAUUUAAAAUCUUUCAUUGCCCUGCCAAUCCAGAUGAUUUGCCAUAGGAUAUUGAGGCGGUGAAUCAGUUUUUUUUUGAGAAACUAUGAAAAUCUUCGAGUCUUUUCAAUUCUUUUUAAUUUCUUAAAAUUUUCGACUAGAUUUUCAGUAGUUUUUCCCGACCUUUUCUUAAUUUUUGCCCGACGAGAGUACGAUUGCGAAAGAUUGGGGGGGGGGGGUGACAUUGGGGGAGGGGUGAGACACCCCCCCUGUAGGUACGCCCCUGGUUUUACGAUGGAGGACAAUGCAUAUAGACCAAUGGCACAUGACGUCACAGUGCCGGUGACGAUGCAUCUGGAGGACAAAUUAGCAAUCUAUGCAUAAUAUAACUUUUAUAAGCAAAGCAAAUUUUGUAAAACUUUAUAAUAAUUUUGUAUUAUUAAAAAUAAAAUGGUUAAUUUUUGCCCUGUAUGUGGUUAUUGUUCCCAAAUAGAUAUUGUUUGGGAGCAUCUGGAGGACACUCUAAGGAUUUGUGACGUCAGUGCAGUGGAUCUAAUAUUUUCCUGACUUAUCAACUCAUCAUACAGCUCAGUUGCUCAGUGCGCUAACUGCAGUUAACUUUAACCACGUUUUUAUGUAACCGG